GAAUAUUUCAAGCGUUCAGGUGCUUCCACUCCCACGGUGGAAGGUAAAAGGGAAAAGGGUGAGAAUCCCUUGCUGUCCCGCAACUGUGAACGGUGAUGAAAGCCGCAGCGAUGCCACUGGAGAGUCCUUGUUGAUGUGAAGGCGUGAAAUACGCCUUCUUCCGGGAAGGCGCGGCGAGUAAAGUGAUCCGUGAGCCAGGAAACCUGCCCGAACGCAUGAGCAGCG
rnacentral:ncRNA from 2 species